rnacentral:tRNA from 1 species
CGCAGCAUAGCUUAAUCAGCAAAGCCCCAGGUUCAUACCCUGGUAUAUGCGGGUGCAAAUCCCGUCGCUGCCA